rnacentral:misc_RNA from 1 species
AAGUCGUAACAAGGUUUCCGUAGGUGAACCUGCGGAAGGAUCAUUACCAAAUUUUCCCACUGCAUUACGCAAACACCAUGUGUGAACUGGAUCUGAAUCUCAUUUGGUUGGUGCAUUUGUUGCCUGGCCAAAUGUGUUUAACCCCAUUGUCAACGAUGAACAUGCUGUUUUUUGAAAGCUGUCUGUUUUUCGAAGCAGAUGGAUUAAAAAUGACAGAAACAACUUUUAACGGUGGAUCUCUUGGCUCGC